AUGUUCGAAGCCAGGAAUGAGAAAGCCAGUGAUUUUGUUGAUGCAAGUACAUCUCUGCCUGUUAAGCUUGAGGCCAGCUGCGUUGCGGUACUGGUACACCCCAUUGUCGAGGUGUUGAAGGCUGAAGAGCAGCCAUUGCACUCCACCAAUGAGGAGACAUCCGUUGACCUCGAGGCCAAGAACAAUGAUGCAUCCUUCAUUACAGAGGUGAUGACGAAGGAGGAAGAGCAGCUAUAUGAGGCUCGGCUUAAGGUAGAGGAAGAAGAGGCUAGAAAGAGAGAACAAGCGGCAAGACUUGCUUUAGAUCCUAAUGCAUGCUUUAGCAAGUUGGAUGAGCUGCUGACAGAGACACAGCUUUAUUCAGAAUUUCUACUUGAAAAGAUGGCGCAAAUAACAGAUGUUAAGCAGAAUUUUCUUGAAGUUAAAGAUGAAGAGGGGUCUGUGGAAGACAAGAAGAAAGGAUGUGGCAGAAAGAGGAAAGUAAAUUCUAAGCCACAAUACAAUGAUAAGAAGGCUAAGACAGCAGUGGCUGCAAUGCUCACAAGAUCGCGCGAAGAUCGUUCUGCUUAUGAUGACACUCUCACAGAAGAAGAAAGAUGGGAAAAAGAGCAAGCCAACCUUGUACCAUUAAUGACUGGUGGACAGUUGAAAUCUUACCAGAUAAAGGGUGUGAAGGGGCUAAUAUCACUGUGGCAGAAUGGGCUAAAUGGGAUACUAGCUGAUCAAAUGGGCCUUGGGAAAACAAUCCAGACAAUUGGAUUUCUUACCCAUCUUAAAGGGAAUGGUAUGCACGGUCCUUACAUGAUAAUUGCUCCUCUUUCCACCCUCUCAAACUGGGUGAAUGAAAUCUCAAGGUUUGUUCCAUCUCUUACUGGGCUGAUUUACCAUGGGGAUAAAGUGGCUCGGCAGAGAUAAGGAGAAAAUUCAGGCCCAAAACUGUUGGCCCUGAUUUCCCGAUAAUAAUUACUUCAUAUGAGAUGGCCAUGUCAGAUGCAAAAUAUCUUGCUCGUUAUAAGUGGAAAUAUGUUGUUGUGGAUGAGGGACAUCGGUUGAAAAAUUCUAAAUGUAAAUUAUUGAGAAAGUUAAAGCGCAUACCAAUGGCCAAUAAACUCCUUUUGACUGGGACACCUCUUCAGAAUAACCUGGCAGAGUUGUGGUCAUUGUUGAAUUUCAUUUUGCCUGAUAUAUUCUCGUCCCAUCAGGAAUUUGAGUCAUGGUUUGAUUUUUCUGGGAAAGGAGACGAGGAGCAGCAGGAAGAAGCUGAUGAGAAGAAAAGAGUUCUUGUUAUUUCAAAGCUUCAUGCCAUUUUGUGUCCAUUCCUUUUAAGACGGAUGAAGAUGGAUGUGGAGCAGAUGCUUCCACGGAAGAAAGAGAUAAUCAUUUAUGCUAACAUGACUGCACAUCAGAAGCAAAUCCAGACUCACUUGAUUGAAAAAACAUUUGACAACUACUUGCUUGAGAGCACAGACAUAGUGUUGCGGAGACCUGGCCUGAAGAUGAAGCUAAAUAACCUAAUGAUUCAGCUGAGGAAGAACUGUGCCCAUCCUGAUCUUUUCAAUGCUGCAUUUGACUCAACAAGCCUUUAUCCACCUACCGAUAAGCUUCUGGAACAAUGUGGUAAAUUUCAGCUGUUGGACAGGUUACUGGAAUCCCUACUCAAACAAAAGCACAAGGUUCUAAUAUUUUCACAGUGGACAAAAGUUUUGGAUAUAAUUGAAUAUUAUUUGUAUAUGAAAGGCCUGAAUAUUUGCCGAAUUGAUGGUAGUGUUAAAUUGGAAGACAGGAUGAGACAGAUAGCAGAGUUUAAUGACUUGAACAGCAGUAUGAAUGUCUUUAUUCUAAGCACACGUGCUGGUGGGCUUGGCAUCAAUCUUGCUUCUGCUGAUACAUGUAUCCUGUAUGACAGUGACUGGAAUCCUCAGAUGGAUUUGCAGGCCAUGGAUCGAUGCCACCGGAUUGGUCAAACACGCCCAUUGCAUGUUUAUCGGUUGGCAACAGCCAACUCUGUUGAGGGACGUAUUAUCAAGAGAGCUUUUGGAAAGCUGAAGCUGGAGCACGUUGUGAUUGGGAAGGGACAGUUUGAACAGAAUAGCGCGAAGCCUAACGUCUUAGAUGAGGAGGAGCUGCUUGCGCUGCUGAGGGACGAGCAGGACGAGGAAGACAGGAUGAUCCAGACCGACAUCAGCGACGAGGACCUUCUGAAGGUGAUGGACCGGAGCGACCUCACCGGCCCGCCUGCCGCCGCCGAUGCCACCCCUCUUAUCCCCCUGAAAGGGCCUGGCUGGGAGGUCGUGAUGGCCUCCAAGAGCGGUGGCGGCGUGCUCUCGGCGCUCACCAGCUGAGCCCUGCCCCGGCCUAGCAGUGACGGCGCCCUCGGCAUUUCGGGUGAUUCGGCUUGGUCACCGCUAACUAGCUGAUGUUUGGCGAAACACUAUCCGCCGAAGUAAUUAUUGACCUCAUGGCAUAUGUGAUACAGGAUGUGGUAACCUAUCUCGAAAAGAAUCCAAAAGUAAGUAAUUAUUGACUGGGCGUUGCACCCGUAGAUUAGGUGCUCUAAGUAACUUGAGCUCGCACCUUCUUCCCCAUUUGCUUUGGGUCAGCAUUCAGCAGGCUAUGUAAGACUGUUAUGGUAGUCUAUGCUGAAGGAGGUUGGAAGUGUGCUGCCAGAACUCUGCCAUAUAACAGUCUCGUAAUAGGAGAAAAUAAUUACCGCGGUAAGCGUAC
rnacentral:rRNA from 1 species